CCAGACGGUCGGACGACCGCCGAAGCGUGUGCGAUAUUCUUGCCACAGGCUUUGGAGGAAAGUCCGGGCUCAACGGGAACACGGUGCCGGCUAACGGCCGGCGGGGGCGACCCUAGGGAAAGUGCCACAGAAACCAUACCGCCCGCACUUGGCCUUCGGCCCUGCGGGUAAGGGUGAAAAGGUGCGGUAAGAGCGCACCGCUCCAGCGGCAACGCUGGUGGCGGGUAAACCCCACCGUGAGCAAGACCGAAUAGGGGCAGCAGGUUGCGGCGGAAAGAGCCGAAACCGAGGGUGUUCCCGCCCUGCCGCCCGGGUUGGUCGCGCGAGGCGCGCCGCAAGGCGCGUCCCAGAGGAAUGGUCGUCCCGCAUCCUUGAUCGGAUGCGGACAGAACCCGGCUUAUAGACCGUCUGGCAUU
rnacentral:RNase_P_RNA from 1 species